AUUCUCAGCCUCAGAGGACAGUGUUUGGUGUCAAAUGAUCCCUGAAGAUUCUCUGAGUUCUUCUUCAUACCAACUGGUAGAGAUAAAUCAAUUCUCUUAACCACAUGGCAGGACAUGAGACUGUGGCAUGGAGCUGUUGAUCUUUUCUUCUCAUGUUUUCCAUGAGCACAUCCAGACAGGUGGGGUCUGUUGUGGAGGCCGAGCCAUUCGGAAUAUUUCCAGAUUCCUGAAAGGAACAAACACAGAAUUCUUCAAGCCAACUCUCCCUUUCCUCUGUGAGCAUUGGCAAUAAUGAUGACCAUUCCCUACAGAAGCCAAAGAGGACUCAAGCCAGAGAAAAGAACUCUUUGAAUCCCAACUUUCAAUGGUUAAUUCUAGAUAAACACGCUAGCUUCUGAGUCUGCUCAAAUUUACACAGUCUUAUAAGGACAUACAUCCUUUCUGCACUUUAUACUUCCUACUGCUUUUAAAUAGUUAUGUAUAUGCAUAUAUACACACAUACAUAUAUAUGUAUUUAUAUAUGUAUAUAUGUAUAUAUAUAUAUAUAUAUAUAUAUAUAUAUAUAUAUAUAUAUAUAAAACAUAUGAAUCAUGACCAUGAGACUUGAUUAAUUAAAGUCAUACCUAUAAGUAUAUUUUGAUUAAACAGAACCGGAUAGC
rnacentral:lncRNA from 1 species